rnacentral:lncRNA from 1 species
ACCCUAGCAUUGACCCUUGAUUUUUACUCUUUCUUAAUAUAAGGAUCUCUAGCAAAAAAUAAAACUCCAUGGGCUUUGGAAUUACCCUGAGAGUCAAAUGCUGACCACGCCCUCAAUUAUACAUGACCUUAGCUGCCCUUUGGAAGCCACUGAUGGGACACCCUCUGGAAAGCCACAAAAGAACAAUUUGUUUAUCCAGCACAGAGGCUGGUGCUCAGUUGACCACUGACUGCUAUUUCCAUAAUGGUCCAAAGGUGUCACAAAUUCCAUUUUCUCAGCGCCUAUGGUGGUGAGUUGUGAAUCUUAGGAAGUACAUAACUUCUAUUAAUUUCCUUCCUUCUUUCCUUCUUUCUUUCCUUUCUUCCUCUCUUUCUGUAUC